UCCGGAGGGUGCAAGCGUUAAUCGGAAUUACUGGGCGUAAAGGGUUUGUAGGUGGUUGGAUACGUUAUCUGUGACAGCCCCGGGCUCAACCUGGGAAGGUCAGAUAAGACUGUUUGACUCGAGUAUAGGAGAGGGUAGUGGAAUUUCCGGUGUAGCGGUGAAAUGCGUAGAGAUCGGAAGGAACACCAGUGGCGAAGGCGGCUACCUGGCCUGAUACUGACACUGAAAAACGAAAGCGUGGGGAGCAAACAGG
rnacentral:rRNA from 1 species